rnacentral:rRNA from 1 species
GCUUGUCUCAAAGAUUAAGCCAUGCAUGUCUAAGUAUAAACUGCUUUAUACUGUGAAACUGCGAAUGGCUCAUUAAAUCAGUUAUAGUUUAUUUGAUGGUACCUUACUACUCGGAUAACCGUAGUAAUUCUAGAGCUAAUACGUGCGCACAUCCCGACUCCUGGAAGGGACGUAUUUAUUAGAUAAAAGGCCGACCGGACCUAGUCCGACUCGCGGUGAAUCAUGAUAACUUCACGAAUCGCAGGGCCUCGCGCCGGCGAUGUUUCAUUCAAAUUUCUGCCCUAUCAACUUUCGACGGUAAGGUAUUGGCUUACCGUGGUGGUAACGGGUGACGGAGGAUUAGGGUUCGAUUCCGGAGAGGGAGCCUGAGAAACGGCUACCACAUCCAAGGAAGGCAGCAGG